CCUUCCUGCACUGGGGAUUUUACACACUCUCUGAAGACUAUCGAUGUCUCUUCUCAGGCAGCUAACAAUAAAGAGAGCCUUCGCCUGAAGAAGGUUAGAGUCACAGAAGCGCCCCUCCCCCCAUUCACACUCACACACAGCUCGUUUCCAGAGUGCUGCAUGGCUUGAAGAGAAGUCGAUGUGAAAGAUGCCACGGAGCAACGGAGGGGGACAGGGGUUCCAGCCCCCAUUCUGAGACCAAGUCGUGUUACCCAGGUUACCCUGGCCUCUCCUCUCCUCCGUGUGUCAAGGAGGGGGCGACGACUGCAGAAUGCCGAUUUCCAAUCGUGCGCCGUCCCCACCUCCUUGUAGGACCUUCCUGGCCCUGGGCCUUGGCUCCCUCCUCGUUAACAGGAGGGCGGCCUCGGGGCUCUCCCCCUCUUUGGGGCUACCGUUAAACACUAUCCAACAUGCCUUCCACGCGGCCCUCUAAACCCUAGAAGAGCAGGAGCUCCAGCCAGCCAAGCGCGCUGGCUGCUGAGGCCACAGGCCUUCUCCGGGGCUUCCGCCGGGAAAGCUCUGACUGGGUGAGAGAGCUGCGGAGCAUUUUAGGGUCUAUUUACCACUCGGCCCAGCCACCACCUACCAGAGGUAGAGUCAAGGAGCCAUUUUCCCUACCAAAUAGGCCUCCCUUCCACAUUCCCCGCUGCACCCCAGGGAUCCCUGCGGCGACUACAUGAAAAGGGCUGAGACUUCGAACACUGACAAAGAGAUUGCAGGAAGGGCUUUGCUUCAAGCCUGAGCUCUUGACACAUGCCAUUCCGAAGAAUCAGACUGACUAAUUGGAAAUAGCCUGGUGAAAUAGAUAGAAAGCUAACCUUGAAGGUAGAAAGACCUAGAUUCAGGUCUCAUUUGUGAAACAUCGCGGCAAUGUGACCCUCAAUAAAUCACUUAACUUCUCA